AUUGAACGCUGGCGGCAUGCCUUACACAUGCAAGUCGAACGGCAGCGGGCCUUCGGGUGCCGGCGAGUGGCGAACGGGUGAGUAAUGCAUCGGAACGUGCCAUUGAGUGGGGGGAUAACGUAGCGAAAGUUACGCUAAUACCGCAUAUUCUGUGAGCAGGAAAGCAGGGGACCGCAAGGCCUUGCGCUCUUUGAGCGGCCGAUGUCAGAUUAGCUAGUUGGUGAGGUAAAGGCUUACCAAGGCGACGAUCUGUAGCGGGUCUGAGAGGAUGAUCCGCCACACUGGAACUGAGACACGGUCCAGACUCCUACGGGAGGCAGCAGUGGGGAAUUUUGGACAAUGGGCGCAACCCUGAUCCAGCCAUGCCGCGUGAGUGAAGAAGGCCUCGGUGUAAGACGUCUUUCGGU
rnacentral:rRNA from 1 species